rnacentral:snoRNA from 1 species
GGUCUCCUGGUGCUUAAAACAGGCUAUGUUCUUGCACUGAUUGUAUAGAAAGAGGAGGGAAAGUAAACCUACCCAAUAUACCUCAGUCCAGGCCCUGUGCUUGGUUUGUACUGUGGGAAGACAUGG